UAAGUGCUUCCAUGUUUGAGUGU
rnacentral:miRNA from 9 species